rnacentral:rRNA from 1 species
AUGCACUCCACCACCGCGGAGAAGAAACCACUGCCGGAGAAGAUGCUUACGGCGGCGCCGCUCGCCCAGUCGCCGGUCGAGUCGUGGACGGAUAUUAAUGAUGAGCCUCCAAACUCUGAUCAGCCGAUCUCCGUGCCCUGUAUGGCACCCAAGCCCAAGCCAUUAGAGAAACAAGGCUGUGCAAACAAUUUCGGCUGGGAUCUGAGAACUCAUCCAAGAAAAUCAACAUCGGGAGUUCAAACCGGUAGCUUAAACUUGUGUCUCCGUUCCUGGCACUUCCACAAGCUGCACUACUGGCUAGAGCAAGAUCUUCCGGAGCAAAAUGCACACCAGCCAUCCAUCUGGUUGAAGGAAUACAUCAUCAGUUAUAAACUUAUAAUCGCACACAAGCACCUAAGGGCUCUUGUGGGCCUUGAUGGUACCACGUGGCCAAUCAGCAAUCCAGUGCUGAAAAACUUAAAUAGACAUUGUAAUACCACCCUGGUAGAUUUCUCUUAUGAAAGAAGGAUAGCUACCUCCAUCACGGAAGUUGAUGGUUACAGCUCUCUAUCACCAAAGAGCAAAGCAUCGCACAAAGGUGAUCUAAUGCAUAACGCUGUCAGUGUAGUGCGUGCGUGCGUGCGUGUGCGCGUGCGCGUGCGCGUGCGCGUGUGUGUGUGUGUGUGCACGUAA